rnacentral:rRNA from 1 species
GACGAACGCUGGCGGCGUGCUUAACACAUGCAAGUCGAACGGAAAGGCCCCUUUGGGGGUACUCGAGUGGCGAACGGGUGAGUAACACGUGAGUAACCUGCCCUUGACUUCGGGAUAACUUCAGGAAACUGGGGCUAAUACCGGAUAGGAAUCCUUGCUCCAUGGUGGGGGUUGGAAAGCUUCGGCGGUUUUGGAUGGACUCGCGGCUUAUCAGCUUGUUGGUGGGGUAGUGGCUUACCAAGGCUUUGACGGGUAGCCGGCCUGAGAGGGCGACCGGCCACAUUGGGACUGAGAUACGGCCCAGACUCCUACGGGAGGCAGCAGUGGGGAAUAUUGCACAAUGGGCGGAAGCCUGAUGCAGCAACGCCGCGUGCGGGAUGACGGCCUUCGGGUUGUAAACCGCUUUCAGCAGGGGCGAAGCUUGUGGUGACGGUACCUGCAGAAGAAGCACCGGCUAACUACGUG